CUAACCACAGCCACAGCGGGGAAGGGGGCCAUUACAGCCUCGUCCAUCAUCCUGCCACCCUGGCCCUCCUCCACAGCGGCUGUGACUGUGUGGGCUGAGCAUGGAGCUGUCAGUCCCCAUGAAGUGACAGGCACAUGGCCAUGGAGGGACCGCCGGGCAGGGAAGAGGGAGGAGAGGCCAGCGUGGGGUCAGGCAGUCAGGGCAGGCUGCUGGGAGGUGCGACCAGGCCUGGGCCAGGAAGGAUGGUGAACACUGGUAAGUGAAGAGAUGGAAAGGCUGCUCCAGGCUCAGGGACCGGCCUGAGCAAAGGCAGGCGGUCCUUCAUCCCCAGACUGCACUAGAUGCUUCCGCAGCCUCCGUGCCUGUCAAAGCCCGAAGCCGUUUUAUCGACAUUCUCAAGUUGCGUGUUGGACCACCUGACCCCACUCUAGACCCCCCGGAGACAGAUCUGCUUUGGUCAAUGUUGCCUCACAGCACCUAGUGGGGUGCCCCACCCCUUGCUGUCUGUUCAAGGAUUACCUUCUUUAAAAGGGGGAAAAGAGUGUCCCAAAUCCAUCGUGGAAAUUGCUCGAUUUCCCCAGAAAAGGCCACCAGGAACCCUUUCCCAUCUUUGCUAAAGGAGAGAAAAAGUCUGAAAAGUUUGGUGAGGAAUUUUUCUCGGAAACUGCAAAUGGUAAGCUUUUUAAGCCCACCUUCCUGAGCUAGUGGCUGGGUCUCCCCAAGACGCCAGUCACUUUUCUCCUUGUCUGGAUUUCAGAGUAGGUAAAACAGGCUCCAGCAAUUCCUGAUUUCCCUCGGAAUAGCAAGCACCAAAAAAGACUCAAGGUUCUUGGCUCUCAGUCUUUGUUGGGCUCCACAGGGAGCUAUUUUAAACUCUGAUGUUACUUCACGUCAUCACCAGGCCCCGCUCAAGGCCAGGGCAUCACGGAGCAAGAAUGCCAUGUGCUUACCCACAAUGCACACGUCACAGAUCCCUCACCCAUAUAUGAUGUACACAUCCCCUACACACAUAUACACCAUUCUGAGGUUUACUGUAUUCAGUAUGCACACUGCGUAAUUCCCCCCACAGCAUGGACACAGAAUACAAACAUACAUUUCUAUGCCCUACAGAUAUCCUACUGCACACACACACACACACACAACACACACAGAUUCAUGCCACAUUUAUAUCACGCACAUGAACAUACAUCCAACUUGUGCAUCAAUACGCACUACACACGUACACCACGUUCGCAAACACAAGAACACUAACAUAUACACGUAUGUGACCAACGUAUUCUAUUUUCUGAUUAAAGUUCUUAAGAUCUUAGUUUCUAUUUAAACCCAGUUAUAGAACCCAUCAACUUCUCUUGGUCUCUUCUUUCUUGAUGAUAUUUAUGGAUUUCUUUUUUCUGUUUCAACAAAAAACAAACAAAGCAACAACAAUGACGAAACGUUUCUUCGUAUUAGUUAUACGGAAAUGCAGCCAGGUGCAAAUUUAUCAAAAUGCCAGAAAAACAAAUGGACCAAGAACUCAGAUUUGGGGUUGUUUACCCUCUCUCUUCUUCCUUACGAAACUGUAGCCAUGUCAUUUUUCACAGACAAGUGGGAGAUGCUUGGAGAUGCCUGUCUUCCGCCUAGAUGUUUGCCCUGGGGGAACACACACAAGAUUUGUCACAAAUCCUGGGAGAAUCACUUCUCAUAGAAGGUUGGUUCUCCCCCCCCACCCCUCUGCCCCCCCAUUAGAACAUGGCAUGCCGCGAGAGUGAAGAUGGGAGGUAGGAAGGCAUGUGUACCACCGCCCACACCAGGAGGCCAGAGCAGACAUUACUAAUGGAUCAAGGCCUCUAUCGCUCCCAGCCUGGACUUGGGGUCACAAUCCUCCACAGAGCCUUAUCAGUUCAUCAGGGCUGGCAAGUAAGCUGGAACAACGUGAGAUCCCACAGAGCGCAAGCCCCUCGGUGCGUAGAUGAGGACACCACGGCCCAAGGACAACCCCACUCAGCACAGUUCCUAGCAAAAUGAGCCCUCUGCUCAGCUCUAUGCCCCACAGAUGUGGCUGGUACAGGGACAAGGGCCUCCCUCAGGGCCGAAGAAGAGGGACCAGAAGGAGGCGAGGCCAGGCCUGGGUUUCCCUAGAGGCACCGAGUUGUUUCCUUAGUCUAAAUCCUGUGCACCCUCGCUGGCGCAAGCCAAGGGGCCCGGCUCUCUCAGUGAUAGCACUCCCCGGCCUUCUGUCCCUGGGCCUCUGGCCUUCGGGAUCAAGGCAGGGAGUGCAGGGCCUUCCAGGGUUCAUGGAUGUCGUCCUCCCUUCCCCCAUCCCGGUCCUCGCCUCCUUCCUGAAGUCUUCUGCCCCACUACCUCUGGCCAAGACCCUCUCCCCAGAAUCACCGCAACUCACAAACAGAUGUUCAUCUAUGUGCUGGCACGUACUGGCCUCUCAAGGGGUCCCACAACUAAGCCAGAAGCGCCCCCUCCCGACGGCCACACUUUGGCCUUUGCUGUGCCUCUGCCAGACACCCUCCCCACUGCCUCCCACCCAUCCUUGAACACCCAUCGCACAUGUCACCCUGCCUUCCCCGAAGCCCACAGGUGCCUUACUCUUUAUCACCAAAACUGUGUUCCUGGGCUUUUCUCACAAUCCCGAUCCAAGAGUGGAAGGUGUCUGGGUUUUAUCCCCUUAGUGCAGUGGACUUUGGACCUCUCAUACCCACGGCACUCUUCUCCAGGAGAAACCCUCCUCCCGGACAGCGCAGGCUUAGUGUGGAAACUUCCACUCGCCUGCACUCAAACUCCUUGGCAGGGCCCCAGCUCCUGGCAUGUUGUGGGUGCUGAGGACAUAUCUGUCGAGGGGGCACAAGGGAUGCAUAGGUGAUGGAGCCCCGGCCUCCAGGGGUCCUUGGCCAGCCCCACUCCCCUGGAUGGGGGCCGAGCAAGACACAGCAGGGCUACCAUGGACUGGUUCUCUGGCCUCCAGGCACUUCCUCUCGGGGCAUUCCUGUCUCUCAGGGCGACAGCUGCUGCAGGCAGCACUAAUGGGGGACCCUGGAGGGGAGGCUCCUCCUGGGCGGCCCUGUCACGGGGCCAGUUGGA